rnacentral:tRNA from 1 species
GCCUCGUUGGCUCAGUGGUAAAGCGCCUCACUAGUAAUGAGGAGAUCACUGGUUCGAUUCCAGUACGAGGCA